CAUUGUCCACUAGCUAGUGCGUAUUGACGUCACCACGCAACCAGCGUAUAUCUAAAUAUCACACAAGCCAUAUUAACUUCUCACAAUUUACGUUUUCUUUUCUACAUUAAACUCUAGAGUAAAUUUGAAUAAACUAAUCAUAGUUGAUUUUACGUUAUUGAAGGCCCUCUAUACUUUCAAGGGUGAAACUCCCUUUCAAAUGCCAUUUCUGAAGUCUAAAAUAUUUUCAUGUACCAUUUCAAUCUUACAGAUGAAUCUGUCUAAUAGUAGGUUUGUGCCUCACUUAUCUUGUUUCCAUGUUAAAAAUACAAAGGUCAUCUACCCACAUGAGAGGAGAUGCCUUUUUUUGGAUCCAUUGGGGGAAUCUAAAAGGAACAUUCAGAGAUGCCUGGAGUCAACAAGGGCCUUUAUGCGAAAGAAAGACUGCAAUGUGACAAGGUGGACAUGCAGCACUCUGGCCCAUGCACGCCAGCAAGAUGGCACAUCAUGUGGUGUCCUGGCCUUAAAAUUUGCAGAGAAAAUAUUGAAAGGGCAGCCAAUUAACAUUGAGACGCACCUUUCGGCUGUGAACAAUUUGAGACUGGAUAUUGCCACUAUUCUCCUUCAAGAAACAGGUGAAUUUUAUUUUUAGCAGAUCAAUAUUAAUUACUUCAUGUUUGAGCUGUUUUAAAUCCCAUGCCCUUCAGUUGAAAUGACAGGGGAAUGGGUAAAUCAUUAUAGAGGAAUGUACAGCACUGUAUCCAAAUGCUUAGUUCUAAACUGAAAUUGCCCAUAACCUUGGUACAAGACACUAUGUUGUACCAAUUUAUAAAUGCUGGAUAUUCUGGAAUUAUUUAAGUAACAUUAAUAGUGCAUGUGUGGAAGGGGUCCUCUGGGUCCU